CGUUGAAACAGCAGUUCCUGUAUGAUCACCGAAGUUAAGCAAUAUUGAGACUGUUCAGUACCUAAAUGGGUGACUGCUUGAAAAUACCAGGUGCUGUA